rnacentral:rRNA from 1 species
UACACACCGCCCGUCACACCAUGGGAGUUGGCUUUACUUGAAGCCGGUGUGCUAACCCGCAAGGGAGGCAGCCGUCCACGGUAAGGUCAGCGACUGGGGUG